UAAUACUCCUAGUCACCACAGGGUUCACCAUGGCAGAAAUCGUUAUUGUAUAGACAAAAAUUAUGCUGGCACUCUUAUUAUUUGGGAUAGAAUUUUUGGGACAUUUGAAGCAGAGAAUGAACAAGUUGCAUAUGGUCUUACACAUCCUAUUAAUACAUUUGAACCAUUCAAGGUGCAGUUCCACCAUUUGUUUUACAUAUGGACUACAUUCUGGGCCACACCUGGAUUCUUUCAUAAGCUUUCUGUCAUAUUUAAAGGGCCAGGAUGGGGUCCAGGUAAACCAAGACUUGGACUAAGUGAAGAAAUCCCAGAGAUUACAGGAAAAGAAGUCCCCUUUUCAUCAUCAGCUUCCCAACUACUGAAGAUAUACACAGUUGUACAGUUUGCUCUGAUGCUGGCCUUUUAUG
rnacentral:lncRNA from 1 species